rnacentral:lncRNA from 1 species
CCAUUUCUCUCAUUUUCACCAUCAUGCCUUCCAGAACUGCCCAUGCAUUCGCAUUACGUGAUAUCCCCAACAUCCCCCAAAACACAGACAAGAUGAAGCCUCAGAUAAUAUUCAUUGAACCCGACGGCAGCUUCCUCAUCCCGGGGCUCGGCCAGUACAUUCUUCCUAGGCCACGGUUUUUGAUCCAUUCACCUACAAUCCGGUUACCGGCACCAGUGGUGGUGCUGGCAGAGUAGCGGUCCCGGAUCCUGGAAGUGGUGGCAGUUCUCCGGUGGCUCCUUGAAGCCACGUUUUGGUUCAUGUUGGAAAUAAAAGUAGUUUAUUUAAUGUGUGAGGGUAAAAUGGUCUUUUGUCUCUAUUUAGGGUUUCUAAUGUUUGCCUAUAAAUAGGACUUAGUAUUGUUUAUUGUCGCUUUGGACUACAGUAUUCUCUCUUUCUAUUUGGUAUCAGAGCUCUCCAAACCCUAGCCCCCACACUGCCUUAACAGCAGCCUAAACCCAGCCUUCCAAACCCUAGCCUCCUGCUGCCUCUGUGUCAGCCCAGACCCUUCCUUCCAUCUCUGGUGCUAGUGCAGAGCCCAACAACCAACAGCCUUCAGCAUCGCCAGCCUUCAGCAUCGCAGCCACCAACGUUCAGCCUCGCCGCACCCAACAGCCAACCAUCAGCCUCAUUAACAACCACAUCAGCCUCCAUCUCCACCUUAUAAUAGUAACUCGUAACAUCUUAUUCCUCUAUGCAUCGUGCUCCAAGUGGCCUUUGACCUUAGGCACUCAGAUGUAUGAGGGCCGUCUCCAGUUACCGCUCUCUCAUCACCAAAGCUAUAUUAAACCUUUCUAAGAUGAUUACACUCGUGGCACUUGGGGUUAUCUAUUGCGUAAUAAAUCUGAGGUCUUUCUCACUUACUCAUUUUUGACAAAUGAUUAAAACCAAUAUAAACACUGUUGUGCGUAACAUUUCGGUCAGAUAAGGUCAGGAGUAUUCACGAAGAGUCGUGCUGGAAACUUAAUAAAGUGGUAUAAUCCAACAACUAACGUGUCCUUUACACUCCUGAGCAGGGAAAGGGGUAGACUGAGCGUUAAAAAUCAUCAUAUUAUGUAAUAGUUCGGGGUCUUCUUGCGGGGUAGGGGAGUCCUAAGUAUUUUGGCACAUGGGUGUUCUCACUGCAUCAUACCUUAUUAAUUGGACCACCAGUAGGGUCCACAAGGCCAAGGCUCUCUCCAUAUCCUUCAGCCGGACUAGUACUCUUUUUUCCAAUUAUCCUCGUGUUUUGGGUGCACAAUUUUGUCCAAAAUCGGAGACCCAGCCGGACCCAACUGGAUGAAAGGCUAUACGUUGUAUUUUCAGGUAUUCCUCAAUGUCCAGGAUAAGGUAUUAUGAUCCUGUCACUCAUCAUAGGAUCACUCGUUAAAUGUCACGUUUUUGAAAACUGUUCCCUUUUUCUCUAAUUCACUCCUUCUUUGGUCCUGACGCUGAGAUAUUUGGGCAGAUAACCCGAUACCUCCUCGUCCGCUUCCUAUACGGAGCCUUCUCACCUACACCGACUGACUCCUACCACCGAUCAAUCUCCGGGACCUUUCACGUGCUCAUGCUCCCUUGCCGCAUCUUCUCUGGAGUCAGGUUAUGUCGUCUCCUUUAGUGUCUGAUACCCCCUCCUCGAUAUCCCCACUCGUGUGCGUCGUCCUCCUUCUCGUUUUCUAUUUGAAUAGACUAAUCAUCCUAUUACACAAUAUCUAUGUCUUACCACAGUCUUUCAGAUUCCUAUAAAAUCUUUCUAAGUCAGGUUUGAUUCGAUUUAUGAAACUCUGUCCAGCAUCCUUUGUGGGGUCUUGCCAGGAAGGUGGAGAUGGAGGCUCUUCAACACAAUCGGACUGGGAUCCUUUGUUGCUUUGCCGAGGGGAGAGCGCACUGUUGGUUGUAAGUGGGUGUUCAGUGUUAAGUAUUUGGCGGAUGCUCGGUGAUCGAUAUAAGGCUCGUCUGUUGCUAGGGCUUUACUCAGAUUCCAAGAAGGACUUGGUGCAAUUUGGCUCCAGUUGCCCCAAAUAAACACCAUCGACUUUGGUUCCUCGCUGCGUCUACUCAUCGGCAUCUUUACAAAUGGAUGUUCAAAAAAUACCUGCCUUCAUGGGACCUCUCUGAACACUCUAAAUAUAUGGAUUCACCUCCAGGUUUUUGAGCUCAGGGGGAGUAAUCCGGGAGGAAAGUUUGUCGCUCCGAAAUCAUCUAUGGCCCUUAAGCAGUCUCCUCGGGCUUGGUUCCACCGCUUCAGUAAGUAGUCUUGGCUAUGGGGUUUAGUAUGUCACUCAGAUCACUAAUGCUUGUCAUCGCCAGUCUCAGGGUAGUGAUUAUUAUCUCGUGUAUGUGAUUGGAUCUUAUUAUCAUGGGAGACGAUGUUUCUUCAGGCAUGUUCAGUAAAAUGUGGGGCUCGAAAAGUUUUUGACAUUAAGGAUCGGGGUCCUUUUCGUUAAUUCUUGGUAUUGAGGGUGCUCGAUCUCGCCAUGGA